GACGAAGGGGGCUAGCGUUGUUCGGAAUUACUGGGCGUAAAGCGAGUGUAGGCGGUUGUCCAAGUCAGGUGUGAAAGCCUUGAGCUCAACUCAAGAAAUGCACUUGAUACUGGAUGACUAGAGGACCGGAGAGGAUAGUGGAAUUCCCAGUGUAGUGGUGAAAUACGUAGAUAUCUGGAGGAACACCGGUGGCGAAGGCGGCAUUCUGGACCAACACUGACGCUGAGGAGCGAAAGCCAGGGGAGCAAACGGG
rnacentral:rRNA from 1 species